rnacentral:rRNA from 1 species
UACGUAGGGGGCAGGCGUUGUCCGGAAUCAUUGGGCGUAAAGCGCGUGUAGGCGGCCCGGUAAGUCCGCUGUGAAAGUCGGGGGCUCAACCCUCGAAUGCCGGUGGAUACUGUCGGGCUAGAGUGCGGAAGAGGCGAGUGGAAUUCCUGGUGUAGCGGUGAAAUGCGCAGAUAUCAGGAGGAACACCAGUGGCGAAGGCGACUCUUUGGCCUGUAACUGACGCUGAGGCGACGAAAGGCGUGGGGAGCAAACACGG